rnacentral:lncRNA from 1 species
AUUACCCACAUUCUGAAGUCUCCUUCUGUUAUUUCAGCCAUCUCAUCCUCAACCCAGUUCUGAGCCCUUGCUGGAGUUACUGCAGUCAUUUGGAGGAAAAGGGGCACUCCAGAUUAUUGAGUUUUCAGAGUUUUUGUGUUGAUUUUUUUUCUCAUCUUUGUGGGCUUAUUUACAAAUGAGUUGCUGACCUUUGGAUGGAGUUCUUGUGGUUUUGGUGAUUCUUUUGCUGAACUCCAACUUGGAUAGUGAUUUUUUUCCCCUUUACUUUGAACUAAUUUCUAUUUCUCAAUUCCUCUGCUUUCCUACAGUACCAUAGGUACAGGCAUCAUUCUCUUCCAGCCUCUUGUCUUCAGGUGCUUUGCUUGUUUCUCAUCAGCCCGCAGAUCCCAAGGAAACAGACAUUGACCUGCGUUGUAGUAGAAUAAUCAUGAGCAAUAUUCAAAAGAAAAUAAGAUAUAUCUCCUGUUCAGUGUAGGGUGUGUUUUCCCAUAAAAUCUAAAUACUGUAUUGCACAGCAAUUUAAAUAUGAAAAAGUUGAAAACACAGCAUUCAUGUUUUUCCAUUUUGGAAACUAUGUGGUGAAUACCUUUUGUUUCUAUUAGAAAGAUGCUAGUUUUAAAGUAAUGUUUAAUACUACUAAACAUUAAUACCAGAAGUAUUAAUACCAGUAUACUAUUAUCAUUAAUUUUUUCCUCUUAUAGUAUCUGUUGCUGAAUUUCCUAAUCAUAUGCUUAUAUCAGGUUUGUUACAUCAUUGUUAUUAUUGAAAUUAUUCUCCAUUAGAAGCUUAAACAUGGAAUUUAGAAAAAGGCAUCUACAGAGGAAGAAGCCUUUUGGAAAUACUGUCUUCUCUGAGGAUCUUUGCCAUAUUGGAUGAUAUUGGAACACCCUGCUCCUAUUCAUUCAUUCCCUCAAGAAACAUUGCUGUGUUCCCGUUAUGUGCCAGGCACUGGGUUAGGCACAUACUGGUGAACAAGACAGAGGUAGUUCCUGUUAUUAAAUUUGCCUCUAAAAUUCAUGGUUUUAUGUAUGUAUGAUUUGCUUCUCAAGAGAUUGGCCUCCUCCAAAUGGAGCAGAAUAAGCACAUUGUUCUUCAAAUAUUGGUCAGUUGAAGA